GCCUGGUGUGGUGGUGCACUCUUGUAAUCCCAAUGACUUAGAAGGCAGAGUCAGGAGGAUAGAUAGUUUGAAGCCAGCUUCAGCAACUUAGCUAGACCCUGUCUCAA
rnacentral:sRNA from 1 species